UACGUAGGGUGCGAGCGUUGUCCGGAUUGACUGGGCGUAAAGCGCACGCAGGCGGAUGCGCGCGUGGGGUGUGAAAUCUGGCCGCUUAACGGCCAGGCGCCAUCCCAUACGGCGCGUCUGGAGUGAUGCAGAGGUCGAUGGAAUUGCCGGUGUAGUGGUGAAAUGCGUAGAGAUCGGCAGGAACACCCAGGGGGAAACCAGUCGACUGGGCAUCUACUGACGCUGAGGUGCGAGAGCGUGGGGAGCGAACCGG
rnacentral:rRNA from 1 species